GGUUCCUCACACACACCCACCAUUGUCGUAGACCUGUAACGCGAUAAGAGGAUAUCUCACAUAGAGAGAAGAGAAACACACUAAGAGAGAGUUCUAGAGUGAGAAACUCUGUCUCCUGAGAGAGAAAGUUCGAGAUCUGAUUGGAACCGUGGUAACGCUAGCUCCAAACCUACUCUAUGCUCCAUCGCGAACCUCACUUUCUUCUUCUUCGUCAAUUCAUUUCUAUUUUCUGGAUUUAACUCGUUGGAAGUUCUAGGUUAUUAUUGUUCUUUCUCCAUGUGCGAGUCGUUGUUUUCUGUAAAACCUUAGGUUUCAGAUUCUAGGGUUUGAUGAAGGUUUUAGGUUGAGGGAAAACCAAUUAGGGUUUUUGGAUGUAUGGCUUCAGGGCCAAUAGUUGGAGAUGAUGGAGCCAAAGAGAAGCAGAGGUACACCGAGAGUAAGGUUUACACUAGGAAAGCGUUUAAAGGUCUGAAGAACAAAGGUAAUGCCGUCAGCAUCGUGAAUGUUGUUCCUCCUCCUCCUUCUACCACUGUUGGGAACUCCUCAACAGAAGCCUGCUUCUUUGGGGAUUGAAAGCAGCUUUGUCCAAGUGACAGGAAACACAAGUAUGGAUUCAGCAGAGAAGAGGCUCAAUGAGCUUGGUUACAAGCAAGAACUGAGAAGAGAAAUGGUAUUUUUUAUUUUAUUUUUUGUAUAUAUUUUUUCCAUCUUGUGUUUGAUGGAGCUUAUUCUUGAUCCUAGUUUUCUUUAGUUAAAUCUAUUUAGCUUUUCGAUUUAUGGUGUAGACUAUGUUUAAGACUCUGGCAAUAUCAUUUUCCACAAUGACCCUUUUCACUGGAAUUACACCUCUCUAUGGUUCUAGUCUUCAAUAUGCAGGCCCUGCAACUCUUGUCUGGGGGUGGAUAGUGGUUUCUUUCUUCACUUGGUUUGUUGGGAUUGCAAUGGUUGAGAUAUGCUCAUCCUUCUCGAUUUUUCUCUUCUCACAAAAUUGAUUUGUGCAACUUGUUUGUAUCCUAAUUUUGCUGCGUAAGUUAAGCAUGUUGUGUCUUGGAUAUAGAAUUGCCAGUGCUUAUUUCCUUCUACUUAGUUUUUUUUAGGAAGAAGAUAUUUACUAAUGUGAUGUGACGAAAAUCCCGUCUGUAUAUUAAAUGCCCAAAUGUUGGAAGGAUGCUCUUGUGAGUCAUAUUAUAAGAAAAAUUAUUGGCCUCUGCGGUGUACUUGUUAUAACCUAUAAGUAAAACAAGGGAAAAGGUAGAAUUACACAAAAGACAGUUUUGUUUAUCAGGGUUGGAUGUUAGUUGCUACAAAAACUCUUCAAGAUUGUAAAGAUGUUGUAUCGCCAUUACUUCAAGGGGAAACUAAGAAGAAUGAAAAGGUACCUCAAAUUAAUGAGACUGCCAAGGAAUGUAUUAAGAAGUUGAAUGUUGAGUUUCAAACAAAAAUGUCAAAUGACUUACAGACACCAGUGAUUCUAACUGGUGCUCUCCAAGAGGCCUUGAAAUUUGUGAACGCUUCUUUGAAGAUGUUGAAGGUAUGUAAAUGGAACCAGUUUCUUGUAUUGCAUGCGUGGGUGAUACAUGCAUUUUCAUGUGUUGGAAAUGUGCCUGUAAUUCAUGAAAUAUAUUGUCUAUCUUGCAUAAGAAAAUGCAGAAAAGAGCAUAGUUGCAAUCGAUUCAAUCCUUAUUGGAGGUUGACAAAGUAGUUGGAAAAUUUUUGGACGUACUAGGAUUGUUGUCUUCUAAAUCCUAUGUUGAGGUUCUACAAUAGUUGAUAGAUAAGGCAUUGAAGAGAGCAGGUCUGACAGAAGAUGAAGUGCUAACUUUAACUUCCAAUUAAAUCUAAUAGAUGACUAGUUCUCUGUGCUUUUGGGCUGCCCAUUUAGCUGGUCCAAAAUGGGGGCCAUUUUCUUCAUGGUGUUGUGCUUGGCUUGAGACCAUAUGGCUUAUAGUUGGGAUAAGGACUCAGGCAUAUGCGGGAUCACACACGUUGCAAAGUAUAAUCCUACUCUCAACUGGCACAAUAAAGGUGGAGGGUACUUCGCUCCAAAAUGGCUAUUCUUAUGUAUGUAUAUUGGCCUCACUGUUAUAUGGGCAACACUAAACACAUUUGCAUUGGAAGUGAUUGCUUUGAUCGAUAUAGUUUCAAUAUGGUGGCAGGUAGUAUUACUUCCUUGUAUACACUUUUAACUGUCAUUGGAUGGCCUAAGCUGUCUUAUUUUGUUAGUAAAAGAACAGAAGUGAGUAAGGGGUGUUAAUUGGUUUUGAUUCAUUCAAUAACCCAAAAAAAUGUUGCACUUUCUUAAAAAAAAAAAACAAAUGUAUAUAUACACA